rnacentral:misc_RNA from 1 species
UUUGAUCCCAUGUUGCUCCCAUCUUUAGCACCAUCCGUUCUUUCUUUCAUCAAGUCUUUCCAGACCUCGUCAACAGUCUUCUGACUUAAUGUCCUGGGCAAAGUUAAAGAACCUUGUCUUUGCAAAUUCCCAUCAGAGACACUUCCUUCUCCAGCACCAACAGUACUUGUCAUUGCCUGAGUCUCUUCAGCUGUCCAUAUGUUUUUCAAUAGCUCCUCCAUGUUCAUUGAUCCAAAGUCCUUUCCAAAUCCUCCACCCCAUGUGCUCUGGAACUCGUCAAAGGUCAAUGAGUAUACUGAAGGCUGGCGGACUAAACCUGAUGGCUUUGCAUUGCUGCUCUCCCCCGCUGGGGCAUUACCAAAGUCCUUGAAGUUCAAAUGAGACCCCAUUCUUGACAAUAGUAGUAGCAACAGUCACAGCUCAAUCAAACAGGCCUGUAUCUUUUUUUUUUCUUCCAAUUUCAGUAGAUCAUAAUGAAAUCCCACUCCUUCCAGCUUGUUUUCUUCAGAUUGAGAUCCAAAAAUUCACCAUAAUGAAGUAAAGAGUGAGCAAAGCAUUAGCAUGCUUACAUUUUCAGUUCAAAUCAUAAAAUGAAAGAGAACCAAAUUCUAACAACCACUAACAUAAAAACUACAGUGGAAGACAACUAAAAAAUUCUGUGUGACAAAACCAGAGUUAGCUGCAGCUUGAAAGAGCUGAAAGAACACAAAAAUGAAAGCUUAAGUGAUACCCCAUUCCCAAGAACAUUUGAAAACACACCAACCAAUAAAUAUCUUCAAAUAAAUAUAAUAAAGUUCCGCAUGGCAUCCAAUAUUUUACAGAAAACAAUUAAACACUGAGAUAUAGCUUUGGAGAGGUGAAGUCAAGAAAGG